rnacentral:rRNA from 1 species
AGUUUUCAGAGAUGAGAAUGUGCCUUCGGGAACCGUGAGACAGGUGCUGCAUGGCUGUCGUCAGCUCGUGUUGUGAAAUGUUGGGUUAAGUCCCGCAACGAGCGCAACCCUUAUCCUUUGUUGCCAGCGGUCCGGCCGGGAACUCAAAGGAGACUGCCAGUGAUAAACUGGAGGAAGGUGGGGAUGACGUCAAGUCAUCAUGGCCCUUACGACCAGGGCUACACACGUGCUACAAUGGCGCAUACAAAGAGAAGCGACCUCGCGAGAGCAAGCGGACCUCAUAAAGUGCGUCGUAGUCCGGAUUGGAGUCUGCAACUCGACUCCAUGAAGUCGGAAUCGCUAGUAAUCGUGGAUCAGAAUGCCACGGUGAAUACGUUCCCGGGCCUUGUACACACCGCCCGUCACACCAUGGGAGUGGGUUGCAAA